AUGCUUGCUUUGACAGCACAUAUACUAAAAUUGGAAUGAUACAGGGAAGAUUAGCAUUACCCUGCACAAGAAUGAAAAGUAGGGUUUUAAAUUUUCAUAAAGUUCA
rnacentral:snRNA from 1 species